ACCAGCCUACAACAAUCUUGACAACGCCAUUAUUUGAAUCAGAGUACUUACAGCAUUUUUUAUGUCUGUCCUGGGUUGUCAUUGUGAUGAAUCUAGCGUAUGCUGUAGACGAGACCCUCGUUUAUGCUGUGACAGCGUGUCAAACGGGGAAGUAAGAAAGGCUUUUAUCAGAAAGGUUUCUUGCAGAAAUUCGGAAGUCAUUUUGCUGAAAGAACUCGGAGGAGUGCUUGAUGACGCCAUUGAUCCGUCUGAGAUGGAAUCUAAAAAUAACAGAAAUGAAUCAAUCCAUAUGGCUUGCAAGAAUAACAUCUGGCUCACAAGAGAAACUAAAUCAUUCAUGAUUUAGAAACUGGACUGAACAAGCAAAACGGAAAGCUCGAGACAGUGCUUACAAUGUGAUGUAUUGGUUGCAUCAACAAUACUUCCGGCAGAACCUAGUACCAUUUUCUGGAAAAUGCUGAAUGUAUUUUACAAGCGAAGUAAGAGGCAUAAAUAGUAGGCCUGCUAGGAAGUGUUUCUGGUGUCAGAAGUGUGCGCUUGUAAACGUAAGCACAGGUGCUUCCUCAGCACCUCUCCCACUACAGACUGUGGUCUUUGUCCACAGUGUGCUUAGAUGGUGAAUUCUUAGAGGGAGUUUGUGUGCCAU